UACAUAUGGGGCAAGCGUUGUUCGGAAUUACUGGGCAUAAAGGGUGCGUAGGUGGUCUAUUAAGUCAGGGGUGAAAUCCCCAGGCUUAACCUGGGAACGGCAUCCGAUACUGGAGGGCUUGAAUUCGGGAGAGGGAUGCAGAAUUCCAGGUGUAGCGGUGAAAUGCGUAGAUAUCGGGAGGAACAUCAGUGGCGAAGGCGGCUACCUGGCCCAAUACUGACACUCAGGUGCGACAGCGUGGGGAGCAAACAGG
rnacentral:rRNA from 1 species